AUGCUCAAAAUUCUCCAAGCCAGGCUUCAGCAAUAUGUGAACCGUGAACUUCCUAAUGUUCAAGCUGGCUUUAGAAAAGGCAGAGGAGCCAGAGAUCAAAUUGCCAACAUCCACUGGAUCAUGGAAAAAGCAAGAGAGUUUCAGAAAAACAUCUAUUUCUGCUUUAUUGACUAUGCCAAAGCCUUCGACUGUGUGGAUCACAAUAAACUGUGGAAAAUUCUGAAAGAGAUGGGAAUACCAGACCACCUAACCUUCCUCUUGAGAAAUCUGUAUGCAGGUCAGGAAGCAACAGUUAGAACUGGACAUGGAACAACAGACUGGUUCCAAAUAGGAAAAGGAGUACGUCAAGGUUGUAUAUUGUCACCCUGCUUAUUUAACUUAUAUGCAGAGAACAUCAUGAGAAAUGCUGGGCUGGAAGAAACACAAGCUGGAAUCAAGAUUGCCGGGAGAAAUAUCAAUAACCUCAGAUAUGCAAAUGACACCAUCCUCAUGGCAGAAAGUGAAGAGGAGCUAAAAAGCCUCUUGAAGAAAGUUAAAGAGGAGAGUGAAAAAGUUGGCUUAAAGCUCAACAUUCAGAAAAUGAAGAUCAUGGCAUCUGGUCCCAUCACUUCAUGGGAAAUAGAUGGGCAAACAGUGGAAACAGUGUCAGACUUUACCUUUUGGGGCUCCAAAAUCACUGCAGAUGGUGAUUUCAGCCAUGAAAUUAAAAGACGCUUACUCCUUGGAAGAAAAGUUAUGACCACCCUAGAUAGUAUAUUCAAAAGCAGAGAUAUUACUUUGCCGACUAAGGUCCGUUUAGUCAAGGCUAUGGUUUUCCCUGUGGUCAUGUAUGGAUGUGAGAGUUGGACUGUGAAGAAGGCUGAGUGCCGAAGAAUUGAUGCUUUUCAACUGUGGUGGUGGAGAAGACUCUUCAGAGUCCCUUGGACUGCAAGGAGAUCCAACCAGUCCAUUCUGAAGGAGAUCAGCCCUGGGAUUUCUUUGGAAGGAAUGAUGCUCAAGCUGAAACUCCAAUACUUUGGCCACCUCAUGCGAAGAGUUGACUCAUUGGAAAAGACUCUGAUGCUGGGAGGGAUUGGGGGCAGGAGGAGAAGGGGACGACUGAGGAUGAGAUGGCUGGAUGGCAUCAUGGACUCGAUGGAUGUUGAGUCUGAGUGA
rnacentral:lncRNA from 1 species